rnacentral:rRNA from 1 species
CUGGCUCAGAACGAACGCUGGCGGCGUGCCUAACACAUGCAAGUCGAACGCGAAAGUCCUUCGGGAUGAGUAAAGUGGCGCACGGGUGAGUAACACGUAGGUGACCUGCCUUUUAGAGGGGAAUAACCAGAAGAAAUUUUGGCUAAUGCCGCAUACGAAGAGCAAAUAUAAUAGUAGCUCUUGAAAGGAUGCCUCUGUAUAUGCAUCCACUAAAAGAUGGGCCUGCGGAACAUUAGCUAGUUGGUGGGGUAAUGGCCUACCAAGGCAACGAUGUUUAUCCGGUCUGAGAGGAUGAUCGGACACACUGGAACUGAGACACGGUCCAGACUCCUACGGGAGGCAGCAGUGGGGAAUAUUGCGCAAUGGGGGAAACCCUGACGCAGCAACGCCGCGUGAGUGAGGAAGGACUUCGGUCUGUAAAGCUCUGUUAAUGUGGAAAAAUGGUAGCUGGUCUAAUAGGCCGGCUAUUUGAUGGUACACAUAGAGGAAGCACCGGCUAACUUCGUGCCAGCAGCCGCGGUAAUACGAAGGGUGCAAGCGUUGUUCGGAUUUAUUGGGCGUAAAGCGCGCGU